CCCUUAGAGUUUGAUCCUGGCUCAGGAUGAACGCUAGCUACAGGCUUAACACAUGCAAGUCGAGGGGCAGCAUUUCAGUUUGCUUGCAAACUGGAGAUGGCGACCGGCGCACGGGUGAGUAACACGUAUCCAACCUGCCGAUAACUCGGGGAUAGCCUUUCGAAAGAAAGAUUAAUACCCGAUGGUAUAAUCAGACCGCAUGGUCUUGUUAUUAAAGAAUUUCGGUUAUCGAUGGGGAUGCGUUCCAUUAGGCAGUUGGUGGGGUAACGGCUCACCAAACCUUCGAUGGAUAGGGGUUCUGAGAGGAAGGUCCCCCACAUUGGAACUGAGACACGGUCCAAACUCCUACGGGAGGCAGCAGUGAGGAAUAUUGGUCAAUGGGCGCAGGCCUGAACCAGCCAAGUAGCGUGAAGGAUGACUGCCCUAUGGGUUGUAAACUUCUUUUAUAUGGGAAUAAAGUUUUCCACGUGUGGAAUUUUGU
rnacentral:rRNA from 1 species